UGUCAUUGAAGUAGCCAUAUAUGCCUGGCUGUCACAGGUGGCUGAGCAGCAUGACACAACUUCUGGAGUCGUGGAGAAGGGACUCUGAAGAAGAACUCUGAGAAUGUGGGUGACAAUGAGUGCAUGCCAGCAUUUUGACCUUCUACAGAGUCCAGUUCACCUCCUCCCACUCUGGAGAAAGUCUGGGAUCUUUCCAGAGGAAUGGAAGAAGUGUUGCACGUUGCCCUUGAGUCCCUGCUUCAAAUCCCACUGUCCUGAGUAACCAGCCACAGCCUCCAGAGCCGCCGCACAGUACCUGUCGCAGCCCCUGACUCACCUGAACCUGCGCAGCCCCCCGACUCACCUGGCAGGGCCUGAGAAGCGGUCGCUGGAGUCCGCGCCUCGCUCUCGGACUGAGAUGUGUUGGUCCUAGCUGCUGUCUGAGAGGAUGUCUGGGGUGUCCGAGCCCCUGAGCCGAGUAAAGAUGGGCACAUUAUGCUGGCCUGAGGACCCCCAGAGUCCAUGGUGGUGGUACCAGUCGACGUGGAAAAGGAAGAUGUGAGCAUCCUCAAGGUUUGCUUCUAUAGCAAUAGCUUCAACCCUGGGAAGAACUUCAAACUGGUCAAAUGCACUGUGCAGACAGAGAUCCAGGUAAGCUGGAGACCUGUGCACUCUGUUUGUCUGUUCUGCCCUCUGCUUCCUGGACAGUUGAGCAGCACUCCUUCAGCCCAGCAGGCUCUCCUGUACUGCCUGGCAGAGGGAAGUUGGCAUCAGGAGAGAUGUUCUCAGCUGAUGUGGCCAAACUCCUCUUCAGGUGUGCAACUCCACUUCCCUAGGGGCUUGGGGGACAGAUGAUACAGCCUUGGUUUGAACCCCUGAUUGAUUUGUUUGGUCUUUGUUCAAUUUAUUUCAACUCAUUAAGUAUUUAUGACAUUUGAGUCUUUGCAAAGGAAUUAAAAGCCCCCUCAAAUACUCUCCAAUGGAAUUGGAAUUAGAGGCAUAUGCAAGUGAUUACAUUUUCAAAAAAAGCUAUCUAAGAUUUCUGCUGGACACUUAGAGGAUGGAGCUGGUGGGGCAUUUAGAGGAUGGUAAUGAGCUACAGAUGCCCUGGGCUAGAUGGGCAUCACCAGGCUCUUCUGCCAGAGCAAUAGCUCAAUGGGCUUAUUCCUACUUAGGGUCCUAAAAUCUGUUAACAGAUCCAGGUACCCACCUCAUCAAGGUGUCUAGACACCAGGAAUUCAGUUCAACUUAACUAAGUCUAUAUGAAAUUGUCAUUAAAAGCAGAGUUCCAAUAUACUGGCUGAUUUCACCACCUACAUGUAUUGAACAAUGGCUACAUGGGAGCGGUUAGGUGUGUCUUUCUAUACUCACGAUCUCAUUAAAUCCUCUAAUGGCCCCAAGAGAUGGAUUCAGUGAGGAGGCAUCUUUCCUCUGCCCAGAACAUUCCUUCUUGAUAGUGGAAGGGAAAGUCAAAUGGGUUCUCAGAAGGUUGCUUGGAAGAUUUGUGAUUUGAACAAGGAAGCAGGGAACUCGGAGGAAAGGCAUCUAUCCAUCUCUGGGGCAGCUGCCUGAGCUCUUCUCCAUAGCAUUGCCAACCCUUCCUGUGUCCUGAAAACCCAUGCCUCUCAACUCUGUGAGUGGCUCCUUUGGUUGGUGCUGUGGCAGCUUGGCCAUGUCGCCAUCCUGCCUGCUGUCUGUUACGGCAUGCACCUGCCUCCGCACACCAGAGCAGAGCGUAAUAGAUUAGCUCACUGUGUUGGCCAGUUACCAUUGCUGAUUCUGGCUCGGUUGACUCCUUCUGUUUCCUGUAACUGAUUUGAUUAGGGCCUUGAUUACUUGUCAUUUGGUUUCUGAUAUGGGAUCAUAAAUGUGCCUGAGUAUAAGCCCUGGCCCCCUUCUUCCAGGGGACGCUUUCCUAUCUUCUUAACUGUCCACUUCAUGAGUCUUCCUUCAGGUAUGUCAUUUUCAUACAUAGCUGAUGCUGUCCACUGUGAGCCUCACUAGCUUAAUUUUCAGAAGUUAACCUGAUCUUCAAGUUUGAGGAGCACCUCAUUGACCUUUUGUGCUGAGAAGCAGAGAACAUCUGGUUGGUUCAGCUUGGGACAGGUUUUAUGGAGUUAGCAGUGAGAAGGGCCCUGAAAGAUGGGUGGGAUUUAAAGCAGAGACUCUGGGGUAAGAAGGGAGCACACAGAGGCUGGAAGGCUGCUGGAUAGGGGGUAGUCUGGCUUGAUGGAAGCAUUGGAUUUAUUUAGAAAAUCAUCUCAAGUCAAGGCAAGGUGGAAAUUGAGGGCAGAUAAUGGAGGCCUAGAACAUCAGGUUAGAAAUUUGGAGUUGGGCAGGCACUGGGGAACAGCACCUAGUUUUUAAGAAGGGGGAGAGAGAUUUUCUUAGAGUUGUGUGAUGGCCUGGUGGGUGUCUAAGGGGAGGAAGAGCAGGAGGCCUACAGAAAGGGCAGUAAGGCCCAAGCUCAAGAAUGGCUACCAGUUCUGUGGACAUCAUCUGGAGGAGUAUUGGGACAAAG